AUGAUGAUCUGGGAAUUAAAGCAGGGGCUUCAGUGUCUCUGUUCCCUGAGCAGAGCAGGGCCCACCCUGCACAAAACCCAUGCUCCAGAGGGAGAGAGGCCUGGGGAGCUCUCACCUGUCCAGGUACCAGCCCCUGGUUGUGUUCCUGCCACACAACCCAACAGAAACUCAAGUGCCCCAGGAACGAGCCACAGCCUCAGCUCUCAAGGCAGAGGAGCUGCGUUAAAAAACAAACAAACAAAAAACCAAACCCUUAAAAAUGAGAGCAAACCGCCCGGCAGCACCAGAAUAAGAAGGCAGAAGCUCAGACUUGCCAACUCAUUGUCUAGAGCCCGACCAGUUCUCCCUCCUGUCCUGGAGAUCACAGUACUCCACUCACAAACUCACCCUGUUUGUCAUCUGAGCUUCCAGAGGUGUUUUCAAGUCUUUCUCAGGAGGUCCAGGAGCCAGCAACGCUUUCCCGUGGGAAUUCCAGCCUUUGUUAACAGGACUGCCUUCCCAGCAAUGAAAGCAAGAGAAACAAACUCCAGCUGCUGCAAGAUUUGGAGGAGCAGAGCCACGAGCGUUGCCGGCAGCAACCUUUCCAAGGGGCUGCACCACCAAAACACCAAGCACGGCUUUGGGAUCACUGCACUGCUCUGGAAAUCCUCUUACCUGCAAAGGAGCAGCUCUGGGGCCAGGAGAUCCAGCCCAGGUGGGACACAGCCAGCCUUCCAUGGGAGCAACUGCCCGGGCUGGGCACCUGCCUCUCCUCCUGAGACUGGGGAAGCACAAAGCUCAGCCUGGAGUGCGGCAGGAGCUACACUGAGAGCUGGAGAUCCUGGCUGCAGGAUCAGAUCCGGGUGGAUGGGGCUGCAGAAGUGUCCCCUCGCCAUAAACCCGAGGAUGGUGCUGGCCAGGAGUGCUGGUGAAGGACCUGGAGGCUUUGAGGAGCAGAGUGUUCUCCAGGCUGUAAUUAGCCACUGGCUUCCCCCACCCCUGAUUAUGCAGAGGAGGGAAAUGGCAGAACCCACCAGUCUGCCGGGGAGGGAGGAGGCUGCUCCAGUCCUGCCCUGCUGCAUCAGGGUCCCCCUGCCACCCCGGGGUCCCUGCCCUCCCUCUGGGCACUGUCUGGGCUCAGUGCGUGACCAAGGCACAGUCUGGAAAGGGAUUUGCUGUGGGUCACGGCUGCUGCAAGAUUAA
rnacentral:lncRNA from 1 species